rnacentral:rRNA from 1 species
AGCCGCAGUACCCUGACUGUGCAAAGGUAGCAUAAUCAGUUGGCUUUUAAUUAGAGUCUGGUAUGAAUGAAAAUAUGGGUGGUGACUGUCUUAACAUAUUUUACUGAAUUUAUUGAGCAAGUGCAAAUACUUGUAACUUUACAAAAGACGAGAAGACCCUAGAAACUUGAAGUAGUUUUUGUUGGGGCGACAGAAUUACAUUUAACUAAUUUUAAACGACAUGACAUUCAAUUGAAGGAAUAAGUUACUCUAGGGAUAACAGCAUAAUUUAAAUAGUUUGUGACCUCGAUGUUGGACUAGGUAUUAUGCUCUUAAGGCAAGAGUAUAAAAUGCUCUGUUCGAGCACGUGCACCUACGUGAUCUGA